UGGGGAAUAUUGGGCAAUGGAGGAAACUCUGACCCAGCAACGCCGCGUGAAGGAAGAAGGCCUUCGGGUUGUAAACUUCUUUUACCAGGGACGAAGGAUGUGACGGUACCUGGAGAAAAAGCAACGGCUAACUACGUGCCAGCAGCCGCGGUAAUACGUAGGUUGCAAGCGUUGUCCGGAUUUACUGGGUGUAAAGGGCGUGUAGGCGGAGAUGCAAGUUGGGAGUGAAAUCCAUGGGCUCAACCCAUGAACUGCUCUCAAAACUGUAUCCCUUGAGUAGUGCAGAGGUAGGCGGAAUUCCCGGUGUAGCGGUGGAAUGCGUAGAUAUCGGGAGGAACACCAGUGGCGAAGGCGGCCUACUGGGCACCAACUGACGCUGAGGCUCGAAAGUGUGGGUAGCAAACAGGAUUAGAUACCCUGGUAGUCCACACCGUAAACGAUGAUUACUAGGUGUUGGAGGAUUGACCCCUUCAGUGCCGCAGUUAACACAAUAAGUAAUCCACCUGGGGAGUACGACCGCAAGGUUGAAACUCAAAGGAAUUGACGGGGGCCCGCACAAGCAGUGGAGUAUGUGGUUUAAUUCGACGCAACGCGAAGAACCUUACCAAGUCUUGACAUCCCUUGACAGACAUAGAAAUAUGUAUUCUCUUCGGAGCAAGGAGACAGGUGGUGCAUGGUUGUCGUCAGCUCGUGUCGUGAGAUGUUGGGUUAAGUCCCGCAACGAGCGCAACCCUUAUGGUCAGUUACUACGCAAGAGGACUCUGGCCAGACUGCCGUUGACAAAACGGAGGAAGGUGGGGAUGACGUCAAAUCAUCAUGCCCUUUAUGACUUGGGCUACACACGUACUACAAUGGCGUUAAACAAAGAGAAGCAAGACCGCGAGGUGGAGCAAAACUCAGAAACAACGUCCCAGUUCGGACUGCAGGCUGCAACUCGCCUGCACGAAGUCGGAAUUGCUAGUAAUCGUGGAUCAGCAUGCCACGGUGAAUACGUUCCC
rnacentral:rRNA from 1 species